rfam:Oryza sativa (indica cultivar-group) chromosome 7, whole genome shotgun sequence.
AAUAAAUACAAUUUUGCAAUAUUUAUGUCCAACAUAAUGUUGAUCUCUCGUCUUAUUUAAAUUUUUUAUUAGUAUUUUUAUUGGUACUAGAUGAAAAAACAUGAAUAAUAUUUUAUGUGUGUGACUAAUUUUUUUAAAAUUUUUUAAUAAGAUGGAUGGUCAAAUGUUGGAUACAGAUACCUAAGGCUGCACUUAUU